rnacentral:rRNA from 1 species
CCUACGGGGGGCAGCAGUAGGGAAUCUUCGGCAAUGGACGGAAGUCUGACCGAGCAACGCCGCGUGAGUGAAGAAGGUUUUCGGAUCGUAAAGCUCUGUUGUAAGAGAAGAACGAGUGUGAGAGUGGAAAGUUCACACUGUGACGGUAUCUUACCAGAAAGGGACGGCUAACUACGUGCCAGCAGCCGCGGUAAUACGUAGGUCCCGAGCGUUAUCCGGAUUUAUUGGGCGUAAAGCGAGCGCAGGCGGUUAGAUAAGUCUGAAGUUAAAGGCUGUGGCUUAACCAUAGUACGCUUUGGAAACUGUUUAACUUGAGUGCAAGAGGGGAGAGUGGAAUUCCAUGUGUAGCGGUGAAAUGCGUAGAUAUAUGGAGGAACACCGGUGGCGAAAGCGGCUCUCUGGCUUGUAACUGACGCUGAGGCUCGAAAGCGUGGGGAGCAAACAGGAUUAGAUACCCGGGUAGUC